GGGGAUUUAGCUCAGUGGUAGAGCGCUUGCCUAGCAAGCGCAAGGCCCUGGGUUCGAUCCUCAGCUCCA
rfam:Rattus norvegicus chromosome 10, whole genome shotgun sequence.